UACGUAGGGGGCAAGCGUUGUCCGGAAUCAUUGGGCGUAAAGAGCGUGUAGGCGGCCAGAUAAGUCCGCUGUGAAAACUCGAGGCUCAACUUCGAGCUGUCGGCGGAAACUAUCUGGCUAGAGUCCGGAAGAGGAGAGUGGAAUUCCUGGUGUAGCGGUGAAAUGCGCAGAUAUCAGGAAGAACACCCGUGGCGAAGGCGGCCCUCUGGGACGGUACUGACGCUGAGACGCGAAAGCGUGGGGAGCGAACAGG
rnacentral:rRNA from 1 species